AUUGCUUCUCGGUCUUUUGGCUAAGAUUAAGUGUAGUACCUGUUCUUAUCAGUUUUAAUAUCUGAUACGUCCUCUAUCUGAGGACAAUAUAUUAAAUGAGAAAAAGAGGAACAAGUU
rnacentral:snRNA from 1 species